AAUGAACGUUGGCGGCAUGGAUUAGGCAUGCAAGUCGAGCGAGAAGUGUAGCAAUACACGGAAAGCGGCGGAAGGGAGAGUAAUACGUGGGAAUCUGCCCUUAGACCUGGGAUAGCAGCGGGAAACUGCUGGUAAUACCAGAUAAUGUCUAUGGACCAAAGGUGUGAUUCCGUCUAGGGAUGAGCCCACGUCCUAUUAGCUAGUUGGUAGGGUAAUGGCCUACCAAGGCGAUGAUGGGUAGCGGGUGUGAGAGCAUGAACCGCCUCACUGGGACUGAGACACUGCCCAGACACCUACGGGUGGCUGCAGUCGAGAAUCUUCGGCAAUGGGCGCAAGCCUGACCGGGCGAUGCCGCGUGUGGGAUGAAGGCCUUCGGUUGUAAACCGCUGUCGAGGGGGAGCAACUUCCAUAGAGUUAUCUUUAUGGAUUGAGUGAUCCCUGGAGGAAGGACGGGCUAAGUUCGUGCCAGCCGCCGCCGUAAAAC
rnacentral:rRNA from 1 species